AUGAAGGUCACGACUGGCUUCUCGUUGAAUGUAAAGGGUAUAAUAAAUAUGCCAGAGAAAAAGUUUCAGAACCUAAAGUCUCAUGACUGCCACGUGAUUAUGACGCAACUGCUUCCGGUUGCAUUGAGGGGGCUUCUACCGGAAAACGUCCGAUUAGCCAUUGUGAAGCUAUGUGCAUUCCUCAAUGCAAUCUCUCAGAAGGUGAUCGAUCCAGAAAUCGUACCAAGGCUAAGGAGUGAUGUGGCGCAAUGUCUUGUCAGUUUCGAGCUGGUGUUCCCACCAUCCUUCUUCAAUAUCAUGACGCACGUCCUAGUUCAUCUAGUCGACGAGAUUGUUAUUUUGGGGCCCAUAUUUGUACACAAUAUGUUCCCCUUUGAGAGGAUCAUGGGAGUCCUAAAGAAAUAUUUCCAUAACCGUGCUAGGCCAGAAGGAAGCAUCUCCAUGGGCCAUCAAACAGCGGAUGUUAUCGGGUUUUGUGUUGACUUCAUUCUUGGCCUUAAGAAGAUAGGUCUCCCUAAAUCGUGGUAUGAGGGGAGACUGACUGGAAAAGGCACUCUUGAAAGUGACUCAAUAACAUGCAGGGGCGGAUAUUCUUGGUCUCAAGCACACUACACAGCUCUACAGAACUCUACCUUGGUGACCCCGUAUGUCGAUGAACACAAGAACAGUCUACGCUCGAAACACCCGGAGCAGUGCGGCGACUGGAUUACAUGUGAACACAUCAGGACUUUCAGCAGUUGGUUGGAAACACGUCUCAGAGGUGACAACACUGUUUGUGAUGAGCUGUACUUGUUGUCCAGGGGACCAUCUUUGACUGUAUUGACUUACAAAGGAUACGAGAUAAAUGGGAAUACAUUUUACACGAUCGCCCAAGAUCAAAAGAGCACCAACCAAAACAGCGAUGUCCGCUUUGAUGCAGCAACCGAGAGCGGAAAGGACACAUAUUAUGGUUACAUAGUGGACAUAUGGGAACUUGACUACGGACAUGAUUUUAAGGUCCCUUUGUUUAAGUGCAAAUUGGUCAAUCUGUCAGGAGGCGGGCUACAGGUAGACCCACAGUACAGAAUGACAACAGUGGAUCUGAAAAAUCUUGGGUACACUGAUGAACCGUUCGUCUGA
rnacentral:rRNA from 1 species